rnacentral:tRNA from 1 species
UCCCUGGUGGUCCACUGGUUAAGAAUCCACCUUGCAAAGAAGGGGACCCAGGUUUGAUCCCUGGUCAGGGAA